AUUUAAGUAGCUUAUAAAGAGUAUGACAUUGAAAAUGUCACGGAGAUAAUUUAUCCUUAAAUA
rnacentral:tRNA from 1 species